rnacentral:rRNA from 1 species
UGAACGCUGGCGGCGUGCCUAAUACAUGCACGUCGAGCGAACAGACGAGGAGCUUGCUCCUCUGACGUUAGCGGCGGACGGGUGAGUAACACGUGGAUAACCUACCUAUAAGACUGGGAUAACUUCGGGAAACCGGAGCUAAUACCGGAUAAUAUAUUGAACCGCAUGGUUCAAUAGUGAAAGACGGUUUUGCUGUCACUUAUAGAUGGAUCCGCGCCGCAUUAGCUAGUUGGUAAGGUAACGGCUUACCAAGGCAACGAUGCGUAGCCGACCUGAGAGGGUGAUCGGCCACACUGGAACUGAGACACGGUCCAGACUCCUACGGGAGGCAGCAGUAGGGAAUCUUCCGCAAUGGGCGAAAGCUUGACGGAGCAACGCCGCGUGAGUGAUGAAGGUCUUCGGAUCGUAAAACUCUGUUAUUAGGGAAGAACAAAUGUGUAAGUAACUAUGCACGUCUUGACGGUACCUAAUCAGAAAGCCACGGCUAACUACGU